CCUACGGGUGGCAGCAGUGGGGAAUAUUGGGCAAUGGGCGCAAGCCUGACCCAGCAACGCCGCGUGAAGGAAGAAGGCUUUCGGGGUGUAAACCUCUUUUCUGAGGGACGAAAAAAGUGACGGUACCUCAGGAAUAAGCCACGGCUAACUACGUGCCAGCAGUCGCGGUAAUACGUAGGUGGCAAGCGUUAGCCGGAUUUAUUGGGUGUACAGGGCGUGUAGGCGGGAAGGAAAGACAGAUGUGAAAACUCAGGGCUCAACCCUGAGCCUGCAUUUGAAACUGGUUUUCUUGAGUGCUGGGAAGGCAAGCGGAAUUCCGGGUGUAGCGGUGAAAUGCGUAGAUAUACGGAGGAACACCAGUGGCGAAGGCGGAUUGCUGGACAGUAACUGACGCUGAGGCGCGAAAGCGUGGGGAGCAAACAGGAUUAGAUACCCCAGUAGUC
rnacentral:rRNA from 1 species